rnacentral:rRNA from 1 species
UGGGGAAUAUUGGACAAUGGGCGCAAGCCUGAUCCAGCCAUGCCGCGUGGGUGAGGAAGGCCUUCGGGUUGUAAAACCCUUUCACCGGUGACGAUGAUGACGGUAGCCGGAGAAGAAGCCCCGGCUAACUCCGUGCCAGCAGCCGCGGUAAUACGGAGGGGGCGAGCGUUGUUCGGAAUUACUGGGCGUAAAGCGCACGCAGGUGGUAACGCAAGUGGGGUGUGAAAGCCGCCAGCUCAACUGGCGGAGGCCAUCCCAAACUGCGUCACUUGAGGGCUGUAGAGGUAUGUGGAAUUGCCGGUGUAGUGGUGAAAUGCGUAGAGAUCGGCAGGAACACCCAGGGGGAAGCCAGCAUACUGGACAGGUCCUGACACUCAGGUGCGACAGCGUGGGGAGCGAACCGGAUUAGAUACCCCCGUAGUCC